CAAAUAUUGGCGAGGAAAUUGAUGCUUAGCCAAGUUGUUAAUUUCUAAAAAGGUUGUCCGUUGGUUCUUGGUCCACAAUUUGUGCAUGGUAUUAAAUGCAGGUUUGCCUGCUCUUCGAAUGGCUGCACUAUAUGCGCAUGUUGGUAGUUUGUGUUUACUACCUGAAUUGGGGGCAUCUGUGAUUAAAGAGUUUCUUGAAUCUAGAAGACAAUGGCUCAUACCAAGCAAACCGCUCACAAGUCUACAGGUGGAAAAGCUCCCAGAAAGCAACUGGCUUACAAGGUACGUACUGUUGUAACCUUAUUGUUUUUGAUCAAAUGUGUAUCCCACUUAUAUAGUUAAUGAUAUACCACACCUGACAAUGCAUUGAGCGGGUUUUUCAUCCCGCCGCAACGCGCGGCAAAAUGGAUCAAGAACGAAACUAGAUACAUACUUGGGUGGCCGUAAAAAUUUGAAGACUUGGGUGAUCUCCCUGUACAUCAUCCUUAAUAAUUUAAAAAAUGGUUAAUAUUUAUCGGUAUGCUGUAUGGCCCGUAACAGUACCAUGGUGGGACUAACUUUGGCCAUACUAUCGGAGGUCCGUUUAUUGCGACAAGUUAUGAUUACGAUGCUCCACUUGAUGAGUAUGGAGUGCCUCGACAACCGAAGUGGGGCCACUUAAAAGAUUUACAUAAGGCCAUCAAGCUUUGUGAAGACACGUUGGUAGCAACCGACCCAACAACUACUUCUCUUGGUCAAAAUUUAGAGGUGAAGUACUCCUGUUCUUGAUCCAUUUUUAAACUAAGGAUGUACUUUAACAUUUUUAAACUAAGAAAUGAGCCUAAAAAG